rnacentral:rRNA from 1 species
GACGAACCGUGCGAACGUUGUUCGGAAUCACUGGGCUUAAAGGGCGCGUAGGCGGGCGGUCAAGUCAGAGGUGAAAUCCCACGGCUCAACCGUGGAAGUGCCCCUGAUACUGAUCGUCUCGAGGGAGGUAGGGGCGUGCGGAACUUCCGGUGGAGCGGUGAAAUGCGUAGAUAUCGGAAGGAACACCGAUGGCGAAAGCAGCGCGCUGGACCUCUACUGACGCUGAGGCGCGAAAGCCAGGGGAGCAAACGGGAUUAGAUACCCCGGUAGUCCUGGCCCUAAACGAUGGGUACUAGGUAGUGGACUUACAUGGGUUCACUGCCGAAGCAAAAGUAUUAAGUACCCCGCCUGGGGAGUAUGGUCGCAAGGCUGAA